AAAAACUAUUAAUAAAUUAAUGAUUCAGCUUAAACAUAAUUAAAACAUGACAAAUAAGCAAAAUUACCUAUAAUCAUGGAAAUCAUGACAAAUAAGCUAAAUCACUUCAUAAAUAAUAGUAUAGAUAGAUAAUUUCUCUUAAAAUUUUGUAGAUGUUAAUUUUAUUUACAAAUUGAUUGAUCGUUUUAUAUAUCAAAAUCACAUGUUAAAGUUAUACGUAAAUCUGGAAGUCUCUUAGUCUAGUGGUUUAAUUAAGGAUUUAUUAAAGCUUCUACACCAUGAGGUCUGGAGUUCAAAUCUCAGAAAACGCAAAUUAUGCAGAUUAUGAAGAAAUUAGUUACAAGAGGUUUUCAGUAUGGUACAUGGCGUAUCAUCGAAAAUAAAGUUCAUAGGACAACUCAAAAUGAUGCAGUGAGACAUGCAUUCUCAUAUGAUGCUAGAAUUGUCGGCUGUAAAAUCGUCUAAUGUAAUAUUUCUCAUCGUUGUAAUAGCAUAAUUAAUCAGACGUUUAAAAAAAAGUUAUACGUAAAAAUAAUAUUAAAAUUAGAGAUCCAAAAAAAGUUAAAAAAGAACCCAAAAAAAAGUUAAAAAGAAAGAAAGAUAUAACCACACGGUGUUGACAAAAAAAACCACACGGUAUGACGUUAGUCUCCGACAAGCUUUUUUUUAAUCACUACCUACAAGUUGGCCAAACAUCAACCUUUUUUAUUUUAUCACUACUUUUCUUACCCUAAGUUUUCAUUUUUGAAAAGAUAUCUAAAUAUGUAUAGAAGAUACGAUAUGUUUCCUGAUUAAUCGGAACAUGCAUGAAAGAAGAAAAUAUCAAAUCAAAUAGUACGUAACGCUUUACGAAACUGUGGAGCAAACUGAGUCAUGCAGAAGGGGACGUUGUGUGUUGGGUAGGGAUGUUAAUAUGGGUUUUGUUCUGUAGGGUUAGCCCAGCCCGCAUCCAUUUUUUUAACCCGAAGCCCGUUACAUUUUAUGUGGGUUAAAAUAGGGCCGUCUAAUAUAACACACGGGCUAACUCUAAAACCUUUUUUUUUAUGAAAACAAAUCACUGAAAGGCGUUGUUUUAAUUUUUUUUCUCCAGUUCUUCAUCUUUCCUCGACGAUUCUAAAUCGAGAGUUCCGCUUCAUGUGAUUUCAUUUCUUCUCCAGUUCUCCAUUGCCUGAUUGUAAUCCGGAGACACGAUUUCGUCUCCAGUUCUCCAGUCAUCGCCCUCCUCUCUCGCGAUCCUCUGUGUUGUGUCCGUCGAGCAAUCUCUUCUUCUCCUUGACAUCGGUGAGAAAAUCGAUAUAGGGUUUGUGGGUUUGUUGAAAUCGAUCUCCAGGGUUUGUUGGUCUGUUGAAAUCGAUCUCUAAGAGUGGAGUCACGUAGCCAAGUUUGGAGCUUGGAGGAUACAUGUAAUUUUAAAGUCUUCACGAGACUUGUAGUGAAUUAUAUGAAUAAAAAUAUUUAAACUUUUUUUUUUUUUUUUUUUGAAUUUGGAGACAAAAAUGAAUUAACACUUUUUCUAUUUAUAUAAUAAUAUCUUGAGUUUUUAAA